rnacentral:rRNA from 1 species
UGAAAUCAGCUGUUACUUAACUUAUACAUGCAAGUCUCCGCACCCCUGUGAGAACGCCCUUAAUACUCCUAUUUGGAAAAAGGAGCUGGUAUCAGGCACAACAAUUAGCCCAAGACACCUAGCCAUGCCACACCCACAAGGGAACUCAGCAGUAAUCAACAUUGAAUAUAAGCGCCAGCUUGAUUCAGUUAAAGUAAGAAGGGCAGGCAAAUCUGGUGCCAGCCGCCGCGUUACACCAUGUGGCCCAAACUGACUUCUUUCGGCGUAAAGAGUGAUUAAAGCAAUAUUUUUCUGUAGUUGAACUAGAAUAAAGUUGUGACAAGCUCAUAUCUAGGAAGCCCAAAAACGAAAGUUACUACACUCUAAACAACU